rnacentral:rRNA from 1 species
UGGGGAAUAUUGCACAAUGGGGGAAACCCUGAUGCAGCCAUGCCACGUGUGUGAAGAAGGCCUUCGGGUUGUAAAGCACUUUCAGCGAGGAGGAAAGGUUGAUGCCUAAUACGCAUCAGCUGUGACGCUACUCGCAGAAGAAGCACCGGCUAACUCCGUGCCAGCAGCCGCGGUAAUACGGAGGGUGCGAGCGUUAAUCGGAAUUACUGGGCGUAAAGCGCACGCAGGCGGUUGGAUAAGUUAGAUGUGAAAGCCCCGGGCUCAACCUGGGAAUUGCAUUUAAAACUGUCCAGCUAGAGUCUUGUAGAGGGGGGUAGAAUUCCAGGUGUAGCGGUGAAAUGCGUAGAGAUCUGGAGGAAUACCGGUGGCGAAGGCGGCCCCCUGGACAAAGACUGACGCUCAGGUGCGAAAGCGUGGGGAGCAAACAG